rnacentral:rRNA from 1 species
UACGUAGGAGGCAAGCGUUGUCCGGAAUUACUGGGCGUAAAGCGCGUGUAGGUGGUGGGACAAGUCUGCUGUGAAAGCGCCUGGCUUAACCGGGCGAGGUCGGCGGAAACUGUCCGACUAGAGGACGGUAGAGGGGGGUGGAAUUCCCGGUGUAGUGGUGGAAUGCGUAGAGAUCGGGAGGAACACCAGUGGCGAAGGCGACUUCCUGGCCUGUUCUUGACGCUGAGGCGCGAAAGCUAGGGGAGCAAACGGG